rnacentral:rRNA from 1 species
AUUGAACGCUGGCGGCAUGCCUUACACAUGCAAGUCGAACGGCAGCGGACCUUCGGGUGCCGGCGAGUGGCGAACGGGUGAGUAAUGCAUCGGAACGUACCUUUCAGUGGGGGAUAACGUAGCGAAAGUUACGCUAAUACCGCAUAUUCUGUGAGCAGGAAAGCAGGGGAUCGCAAGACCUUGCGCUGAUUGAGCGGCCGAUGUCAGAUUAGCUAGUUGGUGAGGUAAAGGCUCACCAAGGCGACGAUCUGUAGCGGGUCUGGGAGGAUGAUCCGCUGCACUGGAACUGAGAAACGGCCCAGACUCCUACGGGUGGCAGCAGUGGGGGAUUUUGGACAAUGGGGGCAACCCUGAUCCAGCCAUGCCGCGUGAGUGAAGAAGGCCUUCGGGUUGUAAAGCUCUUUCGGCCGGGAAGAAAUCGCACGGGCUAAUACCCUGUGUGGAUGACGGUACCGGAAUAAGAAGCACCGGCUAACUACGUGCCAGCCGCCGCCGUAAAAC